GAUGAACGCUGGCGGCGUGCCUAAUACAUGCAGGUCGAGCGAACAGACGAGGAGCUUGCUCCUCUGACGUUAGCGGCGGACGGGUGAGUAACACGUGGAUAACCUACCUAUAAGACUGGGAUAACUUCGGGAAACCGGAGCUAAUACCGGAUAAUAUAUUGAACCGCAUGGUUCAAUAGUGAAAGACGGUUUUGCUGUCACUUAUAGAUGGAUCCGCGCCGCAUUAGCUAGUUGGGAAGGUAACGGCUUACCAAGGCAACGAUGCGUAGCCGACCUGAGAGGGUGAUCGGCCACACUGGAACUGAGACACGGUCCAGACUCCUACGGGAGGCAGCAGUAGGGAAUCUUCCGCAAUGGGCGAAAGCCUGACGGAGCAACGCCGCGUGAGUGAUGAAGGUCUUCGGAUCGUAAAACUCUGUUAUUAGGGAAGAACAAAUGUGUAAGUAACUAUGCACGUCUUGACGGUACCUAAUCAGAAAGCCACGGCUAACUACGUG
rnacentral:rRNA from 1 species